rnacentral:rRNA from 1 species
AGCAGCCGCGGUAAUUCCCGCUCCAAUAGCGUAUAUUAAAGUUGUUGCAGUUAAAAAGCUCGUAGUUGAAUUUCGGGAUCAAUGUUUCGGUCAUGCCCUUGGUAUGUACUGAUAUUAUUGGUUUCUCACCUCCUAAAGAACCGUAAUGCCAUUAAUUUGGUGUCACGGGGAAUUAGGACUGUUACCUUGAAAAAAUUAGAGUGUUUAAAGCAGGCUCACGCUUGAAUACAUUAGCAUGGAAUAAUGAAAUAGGACAUCCGAUUCUAUUUUGUUGGUUUCUGGGAUCGAUGUAAUGAUUAAUAGGGAUAGUUGGGGGCAUUAGUAUUCAAUUGUCAGAGGUGAAAUUCUUGGAUUUAUUGAAGACUAACUACUGCGAAAGCAUUUGCCAAGGAUGUUUUCAUUAAUCAAGAACGAAAGUAGGGGAUCGAAGACGAUCAGAUACCGUCGUAGUCUUAACCAUAAACUAUGCCGACUAGGGAUCGGAUGAUGUUAAUUUUUUAAUGACUCG